rnacentral:lncRNA from 1 species
CCCAAUAAAUUUUUCUGUCCUAGUUAAAAACCCAAAUUCUAAACUUAAUUAAUGAGACCCCCCUAGACAACUUGAAGUACCUGUUUUACCCUUUUAGUUUUUAUUCAAUACACAAACCCUAGCCACCUUCUCUCUUCCACUCACGUAUCAGCCGUUACAACUUACAACUCUCUCACUCUCUUCAUCUCUCACUCAAUCUCUCUCUCUAACUCUUUCAAUUGCUGCCAGAUCUACUCCCCACACUGCAUUGCGCUCCAGAUCUACUACUCACACCGCCUCGCCAUUCACCACCGCUCUGCCACCGCCGCUCCCCACCGCCUUACGCCGCUGCUCAGCCACCGUCUUGCGCCGCUGCUCCGCCACCGACGUUCGUCGUUGCUCCGCCACCGACGUUCCCCUUGCGCCGCUGCUCUGCUACCGCUUUGCGCCGCCCGUCGCCGCUCCUCUCACCGCCUCUGUGGAAAUAACUGCAAUCUAUGGAGGUUAUUUCCUAUUUACUGUUUGUUUAUUGGGGGUUUUUAAGAGAGAUUGCAAUCCGAACUAGGGAGUUUUUGCUGGUGAAUGGCUUCAUAUUUUUUGAAAGGUCUGUUCCCAUUCUUGUAUAUACAUACAUAUACGCAUAUUUGAAUAUGUUUUUUUUUUUUAAAUAUUGUUGUGUCUGCUUUAUAUGUGAUGAGAAUGAGGACAAUUUUGAAAAAAAUAUCUAGUAAAGUUUGUAUCUUUAUUGGAAUUAUUUUGCCGAUUCGAAGUUCGAACUCGAUUGAGCACAUCAUUUAACAUUGGUCUUUGGUCUAAAUUAUUGCAACUAAUUUGGCUUUUAAGGCAGUAGUUUAGUGUGAACAUGAUUGAUUUUUUUCUCAAUAUUCUCGAACUAAUAUAUUCAAUUGUAAACGUUUGCAGAUGAAUUUUAUUUAUAUACAUAUAUAGUCACAUGUGGUCAUAUACAUGUACAUAUAUAGUCACAUAUAGUAACAAGAAUGAACAUAACUACAUGUGACUAUAGUUGACUACAUAUAGUCAUAUAUAGUAAUAUGUAGUAAUAUGUAGUCAUAUAUAGCUGACUACGUAUAGUCAUAUAUAGUAAUAUGUAGUAAUAUGUAGUCAUAUAUAGUUGACUACAUAUAGUCAUAUAUAGUAAUAUGUAGUCAUAUAUAGUUGACUACAUAUAGUCAAAAAAAUGUUUUUCAUUAUUUGUUUGUAUUUUUCAUGUAAUGUAAUUUGCUUGUUCCAUUUUGUUCUUCGUUUUCUCUAACUUGUAUUUUUUUUGUCACAGGUUUUGCAUUAUAUUAUGAGAUGCAAAGAAUAAGAUGUAAAGAAGUGCCAUGUGAAGUUGCUUUCAUGCUACAGUCUCCAGACUUCAUGUUACUGUAUAUAACUAUAGAUAAUUGUACAUAAUUAUAAUCACAUUAGUAACAUAUAGUUAUAUUAUGCUAUGUGAUUUUUAAUGUAUAGUAAUGCGUGUUAAUGUUUGAACAAUAUAUGCAUGUGAUUGUGUUUUUCAUUUUUGGUUGGUUAGUUGAUUUAUAAUAUCACAAUCCAAAUUGUGAAUUUUGUUGUUGAUGUAGAUGAAUUUUGGGGUAAAAAAACAGUAAAUGAUUACAUAUAUAACUAUAUUUACUAUUGAACUUG